rnacentral:rRNA from 1 species
UACGUAGGCAGCAAGCGUUGUUCGGAGUUACUGGGCGUAAAGGGUGUGUAGGCGGUUGUUUAAGUUUGGUGUGAAAUCUCCCGGCUCAACCGGGAGGGUGCGCCGAAUACUGAGUGACUAGAGUGCGGGAGAGGAGAGUGGAAUUCCUGGUGUAGCGGUGAAAUGCGUAGAUAUCAGGAGGAACACCGGUGGUGUAGACGGCUUUCUGGACCGUAACUGACGCUGAGACACGAAAGCGUGGGGAGCGAACAGG